CUGGGGCUUGUCUCCAAAGGCUGCAGGCAGGACGUGCGGGCCCUUGGCACGACGCAGUCUCAUCGGUGGCCACCGGCAGCCCCUUAGCUGGUCUGGGUUUUGGACUUACUGCCUCCUCCUGCCCUGGCCUCACUGUCCCUGAGGUCUGAAGUUCCCCGGCCAAGCUAAGUCCACAGCCUCAGUGAAGCCACCUGGGACAGAGGCCCUGGGAGGAGAAGGGUCUGGGACGUAAAUCCCUAAAGCUCUGAGUUGUCCUUGUGUGUUCGGCUCCUAGGGACCUUGGAAGGAAGCUAGGAAGGCAGAAGACCGGGUGAGAUCCAAGUGGCUCCAGCGCGCCUCAGCUUUUGGCCUUGCUAGAGUUUGGAUGCCCCAAGUCCCCCAAGGGUCCCUGUGUUAGCUGUUUAGUUCUAGGUGGGGCAGUUGGGAGGUGGUGGAACCACUAGGAGGUGGCGCCUAGUGAUGGGCCCUUAGGUCACUGUGAGUGUGACUUUGAUGGGGACAGAGGGACUCUAGUGCCUUCUUCUUUUGCUCCCUGACCACGAGGUGAGCAGUCUUGCUCACUCACCUGCUCCUGCCGUGGUGCACUGCCCUGUCACAGGCCCAAAGCCACAGGGCCAACCCAGCUUGGGCCAGAAUUUCCAAAGCUGUGAGCCAAAGUAACCUUUUCUCUUUAGAAGUUGAUUAUCUCAGGGGUUGUGUUAUAGUGAGGACUCACUGAAGUCGGACUAACAUACACCUCAACUCCGGGCUUCCCCUUCUUCAUCUGUCAAAUCGGCAAAAUGAUAAUCCAUAUCAUUUGGCUUUUUUUUGGGGGGGGGUACUGGGGAUUGAACUCAGGGUCCCUCAACCACUGAGCCACAUCCCCAGCCCUAUUUUGUAUUAUAUUUAGAGACAGGGUCUCCCUGAGUUGCUUAGCACCUGCCAUUGCUGAGGCUGGCUUUGAACUUGUGAUUCUCCUGUCUCAGCCUCCCAAGCUGCUGGGAUCACAGGCGUGCGCCACCUCGCCCAGCUCACUGUGGGCUUUUACUGAAGAGUACAUGAGGUAAUAGUCCUAAAGCACUCAGCACGGUGCCUAGCACACAGUAGGUGCUCGGUAGACAUUAUUCUCCAGGAGGCCCAACCUCUUCCCUUUCCUCUCCAAACUCCAACAUGGAAGAGCAUUUGCCCUCUGCCUGCCGCUCCCUGGGUCUGGCUCUAUCCCCCGCUCAUCUCGUGGCUUCUGUGCCCUGAGAGGGAGUCCUGCUGGGUCCAGAGGCAACUUGCCAGACCUGAACGGUGUCACAUGCUGGUGUGUUUGAGACUGGGCUCCACGUCCGUGCCUUGACACCCAUCUUAAGCCUCUCCACUUGCAGGUUGCAAACUUUGUUCAUGGGACUGUUUGUUGACAUCCAAACACAGGCGAGGUGCUCAGGAAAGCAGGACGUUAACCCCCAUGCCUACGCGGUGUGCUGCCCCAUUUAAUGUCACAAGGUCUCACCGUCCCCACUUUACAGAGGAGGGCACUGAGGCAGAGGGGUGAAGUGGUUUGUGCGUGGUCUCAGAUUUAGUCGGUGGAGGAGGCCGACACAGGUCCCUGUGUUCAGUCCUAAUUCUGGGCGGGGGACGAAGGCAGAAGAGAGAGGGGGAAUCCAGACACUCCCUGGGCCUUGCCUAGAUGCGGGUCCUGUGGUGGAGGAACCUGCAUCAUCUUAUGUUAGUGGGCGAGGCCGUGGACAGGAGUGACAGUGAUCAUCAUGGCUACUGUUCAUGUGGUCAUCUGGAGUUAAAUUCUAUCGAGCACUUAAUACCGCACUUAUAUAUUUUUUUCAUUUAAUCCUCAAAAUAACCUACUGUGCCAGUGUUAGAGAACAGAGCCACUUAGGGUAACCCCAUGAUUAGGAACCUGAGCCCCAGGGACUUAGGACAGCGCCCGGCAUAGAGUGGACAUUGGAGCCCGUGCUCCGUGUACUUGGCAUCCUGGACUUUGGUGACAGUGUGCUGCAGUUUGAGUAGAGUUUGUUCCCGCCUGAGUUAGUCAGCCCUGUCACUCUGACAAACACCUGAGAACAACCACCCGGGGCCAGGGAUCCACUUUGGCUCACGGUUUCAGAUUUUCAGUCCACGGUCAGCGGCUCCGUUGCUCUGAGCCUGAGGUAAGGCAUCUGGGAAGCAGGGAGGGGUGGGCAGGGACAAGAUAUAGUCCCCAGGGAAUGUCCCCAGGGGCGCACUUCCUCCACACGCACCCCCUUCACCUCCCAACAGUCCACCCGGCUGUCAGUGGGUUAAUCCACGGGGCAGGUGGGAGCCCCCACGAUCCAGUCAUUUCCCCAAACUCCUCUGGACCUUGCUGCAAGCUUUCACACCUGGGACCCGAGGGACAUUAGAUCCAAGCCACAAAUACCUCCUGACUCAGGCUGAGGCCUGGUCCAGUGUGGCAGUUGAAGCCAGAAAUGGGCCUGGGGAGGCUGGGCCCUGGGGUGGGGCCCUGGCUGACGGCUUCCCUCCCUUCUCAUGGGAGUGUAUUCUCGCUCUUGAGGCUGGAUUAUCACAGCCAUAGGCGACCCGUCCCGCAUGCACCCAUUUCCCUGUCAUUUUAACACCAGAUGUCUCC
rnacentral:lncRNA from 1 species